CCCAGUGCAGGUUGCUGUCCUUAUUAAGCUCAAUAAAACUGAAUCUGGAAAGACUGCCCUGCUGUUCUGAUGAAGAAUCUCCCACAACAAGAACUAUGAAGUAAUAAAUAAGACAGAUGAAGUGCCUGGAAUCAGCCACUGAAGAUUCAGCCCGCAGAGCCAGUGAACACCAGAGUGCGUGAGAUGGCUUUUGCCAUGAAAGGGGUUCCAAUGGCGAAAAAGGCUGAAUUCAACUUCUGCACACCAUGUCUUCAUUCACAUGAAGCUGCCAUAUCACUCUACAACUCACAACUGGGAACCCACUGAAGCUA